CAAUAGCGUAUAUUUAAGUUGUUGCAGUUAAAAAGCUCGUAGUUGGAUUUCGGAUGGGAUUUGCCGGUCCGUCGUUACGAUGUGCACUGGCCAGUCCUAUCUUGUUGUCGGGGACUAGCUCCUUGGAUUCACUUCCUGGGACUAGGAGCUGACGAGGUUACUUUGAGUAAAUUAGAGUGUUCAAAGCAAGCCUACGCUCUGAAUACAUUAGCAUGGAAUAACACGAUAGGACUCUGGCUUAUCUUGUUGGUCUGUGAGACCAGAGUAAUGAUUAAGAGGGACAGUCGGGGACAUUCGUAUUUCAUUGUCAGAGGUGAAAUUCUUGGAUUUAUGGAAGACGAACUUCUGCGAAAGCAUUUGUCAAGGAUGUUUUCAUUAA
rnacentral:rRNA from 1 species